ACGAACGCUGGCGGCAUGCCUAACACAUGCAAGUCGAACGCGACCUUCGGGUCUAGUGGCGCACGGGUGCGUAACGCGUGGGAACCUGCCCUUAGGUUCGGAAUAACUCCCCGAAAGGGGUGCUAAUACCGGAUAAUGUCUUCGGACCAAAGAUUUAUCGCCUUUGGAUGGGCCCGCGUUGGAUUAGCUAGUUGGUAGGGUAAAAGCCUACCAAGGCGACGAUCCAUAGCUGGUCUGAGAGGAUGAUCAGCCACACUGGGACUGAGACACAGCCCAGACUCCUACGGGAGGCAGCAGUGGGGAAUAUUGGACAAUGGGCGAAAGCCUGAUCCAGCAAUGCCGCGUGAGUGAUGAAGGCCUUAGGGUUGUAAAGCUCUUUUACCCGGGAUGAUAAUGACAGUACCGGGAGAAUAAGCUCCGGCUAACUCCGU
rnacentral:rRNA from 1 species